AGAGUUUGAUCAUGGCUCAGGAUGAACGCUGGCGGCGUGCUUAACACAUGCAAGUCGAGCGAAGCACUUAGGAAAGAUUCUUCGGAUGAUUUUCUAUUUGACUGAGCGGCGGACGGGUGAGUAACGCGUGAGUAACCUGCCCUAGAGUGGGGGACAACAGUUGGAAACGACUGCUAAUACCGCAUAAGCCCACGGUGCCGCAUGACACUGAGGGAAAAGGAUUUAUUCGCUUUAGGAUGGACUCGCGUCCAAUUAGCUAGUUGGUGAGGUAACGGCCCACCAAGGCGACGAUUGGUAGCCGGACUGAGAGGUUGAACGGCCACAUUGGGACUGAGACACGGCCCAGACUCCUACGGGAGGCAGCAGUGGGGGAUAUUGCACAAUGGGGGAAACCCUGAUGCAGAGACGCCGCGUGGAGGAAGAAGGUUUUCGGAUUGUAAACUCCUGUCGUUAGGGACGAUAAUGACGGUACCUAACAAGAAAGCACCGGCUAACUACGUGCCAGCAGCCGCGGUAAAACGUAGGGUGCAAGCGUUGUCCGGAAUUACUGGGUGUAAAGGGAGCGCAGGCGGGAAGACAAGUUGGAAGUGAAAACCAUGGGCUCAACCCAUGAAUUGCUUUCAAAACUGUUUUUCUUGAGUAGUGCAGAGGUAGAUGGAAUUCCCGGUGUAGCGGUGGAAUGCGUAGAUAUCGGGAGGAACACCAGUGGCGAAGGCGGUCUACUGGGCACCAACUGACGCUGAGGCUCGAAAGCAUGGGUAGCAAACAGGAUUAGAUACCCUGGUAGU
rnacentral:rRNA from 1 species